GCGGGAGUAGCUCAGUGGUAGAGCAUCUGCUUCCCAAGCAGAGGGUCGCGAGUUCGACUCUCGUCUCCCGCUCCA
rnacentral:tRNA from 1 species